rnacentral:rRNA from 1 species
UACGGAGGUGGCUAGCGUUGUUCGGAUUCACUGGGCGUACAGGGUGUGUAGGCGGUUUGGUAAGCCUUCUGUUAAAUCUUCGGGCCCAACCCGGAAAGCGCAGAGGGUACUGCCAGGCUAGAGGACGGGAGAGGAGCGCGGAAUUCCCGGUGUAGCGGUGAAAUGCGUAGAGAUCGGGAGGAAGGCCGGUGGCGAAGGCGGCGCUCUGGAACGUUACUGACGCUGAGACACGAAAGCGUGGGGAGCAAAC